GGCCAGACUCCUACGGGAGGCAGCAGUGGGGAAUAUUGCACGAUGGGGGAAACCCUGAUGCAGCGACGCCGCGUGAGCGAUGAAGUAUUUCGGUAUGUAAAGCUCUAUCAGCAGGGAAGAAAAUGACGGUACCUGACUAAGAAGCCCCGGCUAACUACGUGCCAGCAGCCGCGGUAAUACGUAGGGGGCAAGCGUUAUCCGGAUUUACUGGGUGUAAAGGGAGCGUAGACGGCGGUGCAAGCCAGAUGUGAAAGCCCGGGGCUCAACCCCGGGACUGCAUUUGGAACUGCGCGGCUGGAGUGCAGGAGGGGCAGGCGGAAUUCCUGGUGUGGCGGUGAAAUGCGUAGAUAUCAGGAGGAACACCGGUGGCGAAGGCGGCCUGCUGGACUGCGACUGACGUUGAGGCCCGAAAGCGUGGGGAGCAAACAGGAUUAGAUACCCUGGUAC
rnacentral:rRNA from 1 species